GUGGGGAAUUUUGGACAAUGGGCGCAAGCCUGAUCCAGCAAUGCCGCGUGCAGGAAGAAGGCCUUCGGGUUGUAAACUGCUUUUGUACGGAACGAAACGGUCCUGGCUAAUAUCCGGGGCUAAUGACGGUACCGUAAGAAUAAGCACCGGCUAACUACGUGCCAGCAGCCGCGGUAAUACGUAGGGUGCGAGCGUUAAUCGGAAUUACUGGGCGUAAAGCGUGCGCAGGCGGUGCUGUAAGACAGGCGUGAAAUCCCCGGGCUCAACCUGGGAAUUGCGCUUGUGACUGCAGUGCUGGAGUGCGGCAGAGUGGGAUGGAAUUCCGCGUGUAGCAGUGAAAUGCGUAGAUAUGCGGAGGAACACCGAUGGCGAAGGCAAUCCCCUGGGCCUGCACUGACGCUCAUGCACGAAAGCGUGGGGAGCAAACAGGAUUAGAAACCCGAGUAGUCC
rnacentral:rRNA from 1 species